rnacentral:lncRNA from 10 species
CUGCAUCAGUGUGUCCACAUGCAAAACACACCGAGUGCAGCCACAGCCAGGCUUCCCGUCCCUCCUGGGCUCUGAUCAUUCUCUACGGACCUCAUUGUCUUCAUCUAUAAAUUCUGGCCUGCCUGUGUGAGGAGAGAGCAUGUCUCUAGAAACAAGGAGAGACCAUGGGCUUGAAGUCAAGCUGAGCUGAGCGAGAUUCCUUCUUGGCCACCAGAAGACACUGUGACCUCCUAGCAAGCACUGUUACCUCUGCUGGGAAGCCUCCAGCCAUCCCUCCUCCCUACUGACCCUCCCUGGUUGUCUUUCCUCCUGCUUAUUCCAGCCAGCUCCACUGCCCCUUCUCUGGGAAGCCUUUCCAGACUCCGAAGGGUAGGCUCAGCCACUCCCUCCCCAUCUGAUUCUCCCACAGCAUCCACACUUCUCCCUGACAGCAAUCAUCACAAUUGUAAUGAAAUUAGUGUAAUAAUUUGUUGACAUUUGUCUCCCUGGAGUUGCAAACCCUCAGAGAACAGGGCCGGUGUCCAUCUUGUUCACAGCUCUGUCCUCAGAUGUGAGAAGAGCCCCUGGCACACUGUGCCCAGGAAGUCUCUGCUGGCUAGGACCAACCAAAACCUGAGUCUUAACUGCCUGCUCUAUAAAACACCUCGUUGAGCUGUUGCAAGGAUUAAAUGGCAUAAUGUUGUAAAGCAUUAAACAGGAUUACUCAUUAGGUAGUUGCUGUUCUUCUUAUUAUGAUGAUGUCAUUCCAUAAAUGGCCAGUAGAUUUGUUUUCCUAAAUCCCAGGGCCACCAGCUCACUCCCCUGUUCAGAAAUGUCUGGUUUACAGUUACUACAGAGCAAAGCCCCAUCUGCUUGAAAUGGAUCCCAAACCUCCCAGCAUGGUUUCCCUGGUGUCCCUGCACAAACCCUUUAUUUUUUUUUUUUUUUGAGAUGAAGUCCCGCUUUGUCAUCC